CGGUCUAACAGGAAGUGCAUGUAGGCAGUGCAGAACUGCUUCCUGUUCAACCGGGGAGAGGUUCCUGAAGCUCAUCUUCCCUGGCCCAUGGCUCAGCCACACUACAAGGGAGGGAGGUGAGGAGACACAUGGGGGUGCAGAACAUAUGAAACACUUUGGGGGACUGGGGAACUGGGGGAAUGAGACACAUUGGGAUGGCUUAGGGAAUGAGACACAUUGGGGGCUGGGGGAAUGAGAU